CUUUCUGUUCAUGUCUAUGUGUGUGCACCUUCAUGGUUUUAUGUGAAUCAUGUACAUGCAUGUACCCAUGGGUGCUGGAUUCCUUGGAACUGGAGUUAUAGGUAGUGAUGAGCCUCCUGUUGUAGGUGCUAGAACAGAACUCAGUCCUCUGCAACAGCAGAAAGCACUCUCCACCACGGAGCCAUCUCUCGAGCUCCUGAAACAUCUCUGAGCUCCCUGAUUUUUAAAAAAUGUUUUAAAUAAACUAUAAGAUUAUUAUGUCUCAUAUUAAAAACAUCUUGUUGAAAUUUUUAUUAGCCCUUGCAAAUUGUUUUGGAGACAAGUACAAAACAUUGUGUAUAAAGUUAAACAAAUAAACAAACAAACAAAAUCCUAAAGGGCUCCAACCAUGGAUAUCGUUUAAAAAGAUGAUCUAUUACAACAUAUUUAACAAUUAUAUUAUGGUAUGUAUCACCCAGGAGAGAAAGGAUAUGCUGGUCUAAUCUGCCUUGCAGUGGAGGACUUUCCCCAAACAACACUGGGAGCAGAGGCAGGAGAUUAGCUGUGGUCAGCUGAUUGCCAACUUAACUUCCAGAUUCAAUGCCAGAUCUGAAUCAGUAGACAAGAUGGAGAGUCACAGCACAGGGCAACUAAUGUACUCCUUAGCCUCUGAGUGUAAGAAGAGACCCACCCCCCAUACACACACCACAUAUGCAUAACCCCCCACACCAUGUGCACAUAAGUCCCCCACAAGCAUAUAACCUCCCCUCAUGCCACAUGUACAUAAACCCUCCACACACACAAAGCACAAGUAUGUCACAGAGGAUGACAAUGUUGGAUGUCUAAUGUCUGUGUGUAUGCAACCUGAAGAGGUAUAAUAGGACCUGUUUGAACAGGAAAUGUGAACAGAAAUGCAUGAGAAUGAAAAGGAAACAAUUUAGGGUUGUACUUACUUUCAGUGACCAAGGGAAAGCGCAUAGCUGACAGGCAGACACAGGCACUUUGCCCUCCGCGGAGACUGCUGUGUUUCGUAAAGAUAAAAGAAAAUGUGGAGCAUUACAUUCUGUAGAUUCAUCUGCUUGUCAUUGAUGCUGAUAAUUGUCUUUUAAUUUAAAAAGUCGCUGAGUCCAUAAAUUAUCCUCAUAUGGAAAAGAGCCUCAUUCUCAGAUGAGCAACGCUAUAUCAUGUUUUGCAUUCUCUGUGUCUCCUCAUCAGGGAUGGAUGGUCAUUUCCCUCAACACACUGUAUCAAGACUUUAAAUAUUUAUGUAAUUAUCAACUUGCAAAACUGCAAACAUCAUACCAGGGUUGAAAUGGACAAACAUUUGCCUAAUUGUUUAAAGACAAGCGCCUUAUCUAUUGGCGAAAUCACAGAGCAUGAAAUGGAUUUGAUUAGAUAAGUUUAAAAGCAGUCUUAGUGUUAAUAAAAUGUGACAGAAAAAUGACAGAUGAUAAAAUAGAACAAUAGAUACAAUACUAUCGUAACAGAUUUAUUUGUGCAACUGUGCUAAGUGUAUAUAGAUGUCUGCACCAACCAAUAAAAAACAGUAACAAACAAACAACCUCUUCCCCCAAAACAACCCUAACACUCUAAUGUACAAUGAGGUCCUAAAAACUUGAAUGGGAAAUUACCUGAAGAAUGAAUACAGAUAGCCAUUCAGCAAACAAAACAAGCUUAAUGUUAUUAAAGUCAUUGAAGAUGAAGGAGUGAGUAGUUUAAGAACCUGGUGAAUAGGGAAGAUUAAAGGUGAUGUAAAAAUACUCCAAGAGCCUUAGCAGGCACUCUCGCGCACUGCUAAGUUAAAACUCUUGGAAGGCAAUAGACAGUAUCCGCAGCAUUGUGAAACAAGUUAUUUUCAAAGUAGUAUUCCUUCUACAGUGUUAGGUUUCAUGGAUGCUAGUUUUCGUGGAAGUCCAUCUGAGUUUUUAUGAUCAUUUUCUCCACAAACUCAAGGACAAUGAUUUAAUCAAUACGCUCUCUUCUUGAUAAUGUUUCCGUUGCAUCCUCGGUCAUUACAGCUCCGCGGCUCUCGGCCGUGUCUUCCAGGUUAUAGAGAGUGCAAGCAGAUGCAAUUUGCCAUCAUGAAACAGUACAUAAGGCGAAGUUAUGCUGCAAAUCUCUGGAAGCUGCUGCCUGCCGUGCAUGCUUUGCUGGUGACCAACUGUCCAGUUGUCCGUUCUUCUUUUAACCCUUUCGUCUUUUUCCAUCUGGAAGGUGAAAAUCUUGAUCUUGGAGAUUUUAUGAAGUGUGCCAAGACAGGAUAAAAACUGCCACAACGGAAUGGGACUAGGGAGGACCAUUCCCUUUUUUCAUGCUAAGAAUAUUAGUUUCACAUUUUGGUCUUUUAAGUAUUGAGACAAUGUGACCAAGUACAUGUAUUGUAAAUACUCCAACAAUCCCAGUUCUUCCUCACGUGAGAAGGGGUGGGAUUUUCCAUGGAAUGCAGUUAGCCAUAGGGUAGGAAACUUGAUUGACAUUUGGCCUGACGAGGACUAAAGAGCCUGGAGUGAGAGACCCUAGGGAGCCAUAGAAUCUUCUACUCUUGCUGGUGAACUGCUCCUGAUAUGUGGCAAGAUGCCCCGAGUUAACCACUUCGGAAUAACUGACUUCCUCAGGAAUCACUUCAAAUUCUAGCAGCAUAGACAGCAGCUAUGAAGUCCUGCAGCUUGACUGUGAUGGAUUUGAUUUCAUUUUGUAUACAAAGAGAGCCAGGCUGGAUAGACUCUAUGAUGCAUAGAGAGCUGUGACCUAUCCUUAAGGCUAGGUUAGGGGCUUCAACAGCAGAUAUCUGAGUUAAAAGCUAUGCUGGUUUGGAGAUGGAGCUGAGAAACACUGUAUAGCUCAUUUGACAGGCCCUUUGUAUCCCAAAGAAUGGAAACAUUUCCAGAAACACUGGAGAGACAUCCAUGGGAAAAAGCAUGUUGGGGGCACCUGGGCUCCUCUUCUAAGUAUGAUGAUGAAAGGGUGUUGCCAGAGAGUCUGCAUUGUGAUGUGUAGAUGAAGGGUUAAGCUUGAACAUACUUUAUAUGCUUAAGGAGAGCUUCACUUCACCGAGCCCCUUGAGGACUCUUAGAUAUUCACAAACAAAGCCAAACACUGGCCUGCCUCCCUGCCCCACAGCAAUACCUCGUGCAGUUUCCAUCACAGAUGAAAACCAUCCUUGAAAAAUGUCUUUCUUUCUCUACGCGACUGAAGGUAUUAGAGAGCUAUGGAACUGAGCAACAUCCCAGGGCUUUUGGUCUCUUAAAAUAUGAAAACUA